CAGGUGGUCGGGUAGAGAAUACCAAGGCGCUUGAGAGAACUCGGGUGAAGGAACUAGGCAAAAUGGUACCGUAACUUCGGGAGAAGGUACGCUCUCGACGGUGAAGUCCCUCGCGGAUGGAGCUAUUGAGAGUCGCAGAUACCAGGUGGCUGCAACUGUUUAUUAAAAACACAGCACUGUGCAAAAUCGUAAGAUGACGUAUACGGUGUGACGCCUGCCCGGU
rnacentral:rRNA from 1 species